rnacentral:rRNA from 1 species
UACGAAGGGGGCUAGCGUUGUUCGGAAUUACUGGGCGUAAAGCGCACGUAGGCGGAUUGUUAAGUCGGGUGUGAAAGCCCCGGGCUCAACCUGGGAAUUGCAUUCGAUACUGGAUAGCUAGAGUUCGGCAGAGGGAAGCGGAAUUUCCGGUGUAGCGGUGAAAUGCGUAGAUAUCGGAAGGAACAUCAGUGGCGAAAGCGGCUUCCUGGACCAGAACUGACGAUCAGGCACGAAAGCGUGGGGAGCAAACAGG